ACUACCUCCGUCCGGAAAUACUUGUCAUAGAAAUGAAUGUAUCCAGACUUAUUUUAAUUAUAGAUACAUCCAUUAUAUGCAUUUUUAGGACAAGUAUUUUCGGACGGAGGGAGUAUAAA
rnacentral:pre_miRNA from 1 species